rnacentral:rRNA from 1 species
UGGCAAGCGUUGUCCGGAUUUAUUGGGCGUAAAGCGAGCGCAAGGCGGUUCAAUAAGUCUGAUGUGAAAGCCUUUCGGGCUCAACCGGUAGAAUUGCAUCAGAAACUGUUGAACUUGAGUGCAGAAGAGGAGAGUGGAACUCCAUGUGUAGCGGUGGAAUGCGUAGAUAUAUGGAAGAACACCAGUGGCGAAGGCGGCUCUCUGGUCUGCAACUGACGCUGAGGCUCGAAAGCAUGGGUAGCGAACAGG